UCCUGGGGAGAUUUCCCCUGUAAUUGUCAUCCCAUUUCAUUGGCCCUCAGGGGAUAAUAAAAUCACAGUGACUCAGAGAAGAGCUGUAAGACUUUAAUCACAGAGCACUGUAUGACUUCGGAAAUAGCCAAACAAUUUGUUUUCCCUGGUUCCUGUAAGGUUUAAACAGUCAUUCUUCCCUCAGGACCAUCAAGAAAACUCCUGACUUCUCAAUCUCUUUCGUAAAGGUGUCCAGCCCCACCUAGGUCAUCUAGAAGGGGAGCAAUACAGUGAUGGAGAGACUCCCCACUUGAGAACUCCAGCAAGCAAAGGAAGAUCGGGACACCAGGGCACCUACAGAUGUUUUAUUGCAAGUAAUAAUCACCAGCUAUAAAAGUGUCUUUGAGGAGAGAGGUUGAUGGGCCAUUUCCCAGAAGUAGGAAAGGAGACCGUGGAUGAAAGGCUCCAGCUACAUGGUGAUGACCGCACACUGCAGCCCAGAGAGGAUCUCUAUUCAAGAGCAUUGCAGAGGAGCUCCAAAGGAGAUCAGGGCUUCAGUGGAGAAGUAAGCAGAAUUCUUUGUGGUGGCUAUGGAAACAAAGUAGACACCCACCAACCAAGGAAUGCCAAACGAGUUGGGGUCACAUGGAUGUAAUGGAAUCUUAUCAUCCUGCAAGAAAUGACGAAUGUGAAGAAUUAGGAGAGGCAUGGAAGGAUUUAUCUGAGCUAAUGGAAAAGCGCAGCAAGCAAAACCAGGAAAACAACAUAUAACAUGGCUGUGACAAUGUCAACCGAAAAGAUGACAACAGCAAACCAAACAAAACUCAAUACUGCAAAAUUACAAUGACCCAACUGGGCGCCAAUGAGGAGAUAUGAGAAGACAUCUUCCCACUUCUUUGCAGACAUGGGGGCCUGGGGGUUUAGACCAAGAUGUGAAACUCACAAGCCCAAUCAGCAGGCAAAACUCUCCAGUGCCACCUGAAGCUGACUCAAACUGGGAAAUGUUGAACGGAAUAAAUAAAAAUACAAUAUAACACAGAUAAUGUCAUUUGUGGGUUUUUAAGUUAAUACACUACCAGUCCCCAGGGACUAUUCCCAUUUGGAUUUUAUGCCAAUGGUUUAGAAAACCACAUAUAAUGGUAGACUUCAAAAAUGUUUUACAG